UGAAGGGCAAAGGGUCGGUUUUCAAUCGCCAAUCCGGUCAGGUUCGGAAGAAAGCAGCCGUAACGAUUAGUCGAGGCUUUUGUUCCUUCGCUCUU
rnacentral:SRP_RNA from 1 species